rnacentral:rRNA from 1 species
UACGUAGGGUGCGAGCGUUAAUCGGAAUUACUGGGCGUAAAGCGUGCGCAGGCGGUCUGUUCAGACAGAUGUGAAAUCCCCGGGCUUAACCUGGGAACUGCAUUUGUGACUGGCAGGCUAGAGUAUGGCAGAGGGGGGUAGAAUUCCACGUGUAGCAGUGAAAUGCGUAGAGAUGUGGAGGAAUACCGAUGGCGAAGGCAGCCCCCUGGGCCAAUACUGACGCUCAUGCACGAAAGCGUGGGUAGCAAACAGG